UUUCCGUAGGUGAACCUGCGGAAGGAUCAUUAAUGUGUUUGGGCCUCACGGCUCUUCAUUCCGACGCUGUGCGCCUUCGGGCUGCACGCUGAGGGAGCAUAUAUCCACCCCUGUGCACACACACGGUGGCGAGCUGGGUAACGGCUCGCCGCUGAUCUUUACACACGUCUAAAAGUCAUUGUAUGUUUGUUUGAGAUAAAAACACAACUUUCAGCAACGGAUCUCUUGGCUCUC
rnacentral:misc_RNA from 1 species